GACGUAGGGUGCGAGCGUUGUCCGGAUUUAUUGGGCGUAAAGAGCUCGUAGGCGGCUUGUUGCGUCAGCUGUGAAAACCCGCGGCUUAACCGUGGGCCUGCAGCUGAUACGGGCAAGCUAGAGUUCGGUAGGGGAGACUGGAAUUCAUGGUGUAGCAGUGAAAUGCGUAGAGAUCAUGAGGAAGACCAGUGGCGAAGGCGGGUCUCUGGACAGUUCCUGACACUGAGGCACGAAGGCCAGGGGAGCAAACGGG
rnacentral:rRNA from 1 species